GUGCUCGCUUUGGCAGCACAUGUAGUAUAAUUGGAAUAAUACAGAGAUGAUUAGCAUGGCCCCUGUGCAAGGAUGACACAGAAAUUUGUGAAUCAUUCUAUAAUAAA
ensembl:snRNA U6 U6 spliceosomal RNA